AUACGUAGGGGGCGAGCGUUGUCCGGAAUGAUUGGGCGUAAAGGGCGCGUAGGCGGCCCGGUAAGUCUGGAGUGAAAGUCCUGUUUUUAAGAUGGGAAUUGCUUUGGAUACUGUCGGGCUUGAGUGCAGGAGAGGUAAGUGGAAUUCCCAGUGUAGCGGUGAAAUGCGUAGAGAUUGGGAGGAACACCAGUGGCGAAGGCGACUUACUGGACUGUAACUGACGCUGAGGCGCGAAAGUGUGGGGAGCAAACAGGAUUAGAUACCCUGGUAGACCACACUGUAAACGAUGAAUGCUAGGUGUAGGGGGUAUCGACCCCUUCUGUGCCGCAGUCAACACAAUAAGCAUUCCGCCUGGGGAGUACGGCCGCAAGGUUGAAACUCAAAUGAAUUGACGGGG
rnacentral:rRNA from 1 species